rnacentral:rRNA from 1 species
CGGAAGGUUCGGGCGUUAUCCGGAUUUAUUGGGUUUAAAGGGAGCGUAGGCCGGAGAUUAAGCGUGUUGUGAAAUGUAGACGCUCAACGUCUGCACUGCAGCGCGAACUGGUUUCCUUGAGUACGCACAAAGUGGGCGGAAUUCGUGGUGUAGCGGUGAAAUGCUUAGAUAUCACGAAGAACUCCGAUUGCGAAGGCAGCUCACUGGAGCGCAACUGACGCUGAAGCUCGAAAGUGCGGGUAUCGA